rnacentral:tRNA from 1 species
GGGGAUAUAGCUCAGUUGGUAGAGUGCUUGCCUUUCGUGCACAAGGCCUUGGGUUCAACCCCAGCACCAUCA